UCACUUAGUGGCUGGCACCUGCUCUGUGCUGGAUCUCCAGGUACAGUUGGAUGGGUCCAAUCUGCACAUUUCUAUAGGAGAUACCUGAAGACCAGUUUUGUUUUGUUUUUCCCCGGCUGGAAGAUUUUGAGUUUUAUAGCAAACCGUAUUGUACAGAUUCGGGGCCCAGGGGCCCAGCCUGGCUGGGUCCCCCGCUUGCCUCUCGCCGGGCUGCCUCCUCCCUCCCCCAAGCGGCCCCACACAACCAAGGCAUUUCCUGGAGAAUAUAUCCCUACUGUCUUUGAUAAUUAUUCUGCUAAUGUUAUGGUAGAUGGAAAACCGGUGAAUCUGCGCUUAUGGGAUACAGCUGGACAAGAAGAUUAUGACAGAUUACACCCCCUAUCCUAUCCGCAAACAGAUGUGUUCUUAAUUUGCUUUUCCCUUGUGAGUCCUGCAUCAUUUGAAAAUGUCCACGCAAAGUGGUAUCCUGAGGUGCGGCACCACUGUCCCAACACUCCCAUCAUCCUAGUGGGAACUAAACUUGAUCUUAGGGAUGCUAAGGACACGAUCGAGAAACUAAAGGAGAAGAAGCUGACUCCCAUCACCUAUCCACAGGGUCUAGCCAUGGCUAAGGAGAUUGGUGCUGUAAAAUACCUGGAGUGCUCGGCGCUCACACAGCAAGGCCUCAAGACAGUGUUUGAUGAAGCGAUCCGAGCAGUCCGCUGCCCACCUCCCGUGAAGAAGAGGAAGAGGAAAUGCCUGCUGCUGUAAAUGUCUGAGCCCCUUUUUCUUGGCUUUGUCCCUUGGAACCUUUGUACGCUUUGCUCAAAAAACGGUGGAGCCUUCACACUCAAUGCCAACUUUUUGUUACAGAUUAAUUUUUCCAUAAAACCAUUUUGAACCAAUCAGUAAUUUUAAGGUUUUGUUUGUUCUAAAUGUAAGAGUUCAGACUCACAUUCUAUUAAAAUUUAGCCCUAAAAU